CGUGCAUAGCCAGAACUGAGUUUGGCUCAGAGUGCCCUAUUUGCAAAGACCAAUCUGCAGAUCGAGUUCCUUUUGAUCAAGUUUGCGAACAUGAUUGGUGCAACUGUAUCCAAGUUUUGGAAGCCGGAUGUCACUCAUGUGAUUGCUUCUACAGAUGGGAAUGGUGCAUACACCAGGACACUUAAAAGUUCUCAUGGCCAUUUCAAACGGGAAGUGGAUUCUUAAUAUAAAUUGGGUAAAGGAGUGCUUGAAAGCCAUGCAUCCUUUGAGUGAGGAACCUUACAGUUAGUCUCGAUAACCACAGGUGUCGUGAUG